GUCAGGACCCCGUGCGGCGUACACCUCGUGAACUCCCCCAGGGCAGGAAUGCAGCAAGGGUCAGCGAGCUCUGACGGGUGCGCGGGGUCCCCUCAAA
rnacentral:SRP_RNA from 1 species